AUUUUUAGAGAGGGGGGAAUGGAAGGAGAAAGGGAGAGAAACGUCGAAUGGUUGCCUCACACACGCCCCCAGCUGGGGACCUGGCUCGCUACCCAGGCUCGGGCCCUGACUGGGAAUGCAACCGGUGACCUAGGAAUGGUACAGGCUGGCUCUCACAGAGUCACACCAGCCAGAACAGUACCCCACAUUUUGACAAAAGAAUAUUAUAUAGGGGCAUGUAAAAGUAGAUGUACAGUUUUGAGGAUGUGAAAGUUUAUUCUUGUAUUAUUAUUUACUAUUAUUUGUAUUCCAACUGUACACCUACUUUUGCUCACCACUGUGUUUACAUUUGGCCCAACAAUUACAGUAUUUCCCCUACUCACUAUUUCUAAAUGAAAAUUUUGGGAGGUCUUUGGAUGCUUCUCAUUGGUAAACUUACUUUAGCUGUUCUAGGGUUUGUUUUUUUUAAUUGAUUUUAGAGAGAAAAACAUUCUGCCUAUUUAUGCAUUCAUUCAUUGGUUGAUUCUUGUAUGUGCCCUGACUGGGGAUUGAACCCACUACUUUGGCAUAUUGAGAUGAUGCUCCAACCAACGGAGCUACCUGGCCAGGUCUAGUUUUUUCUUGUCUAUCUAAAAUAGUCACUUUCAAAGAACUAAGUAUUCACUGUCAUAUGGAAAUUAGAGUAAGACAAAUGGCAGGUAGGAAAAAAAAACCACAUGUUUCCAUCAUCCCUGCAUGUAGUCUCAUCUUCUCAAUGGUGAGAAGUGGUAACACCCAGGGUACUUCACUGGAUGGGUCCAGGCUGGGUACCAUUAUAAUAAGCCUUGGGUCUUAAGUUGAAGAAACAUUGGCUGUUGGACAGGACUAGAUUAUUAAACGUCAGAGGCUCUGUGUAUCAAAUCCUUUUCCUUAGAGGUGAGCCCUGUUUCUAGUUGCGAAUCUGAGCUGAUUUGCAUAUGCCACACAAAAUCCAGUCUUUGACACCUAAGUCAAAUGGAUUCCUUCUACUUCUUAGCAUCUAAUUAAAUAAUAUUGUGGCUCAGAUGCUACUAAUCUGUGAUUGAAGGCUAUGGACUGGCUUCCCAGAAUCAAACAAGUAUCUGAUAAUUCUGAGGGAAGUUCCAGAUAACCUGAAGCAAAUGAGACCCUGGAUCCAACACGAACAAUCCUAUGCUAAGGAACUUGCAAGUGACCUCAAAUAUUGCCAAGAAUAAUUUGAAUUUGCAAAUAGUCCUUGGUAACUGGUGCCACAAAAGGUUAGCAUUAGAAUUGCACCAGGAAAGGCUGGCUAUUCAGUAGAGAACCAGAACUGAAUGGGAAUUGGAACAUGACCGUGGAGACUAAGAAUGUGAGAUGGUGUGUGUGGGGGAGGAGGGUCGGGAUGUGGGCUCAUUUCAUCAGCGCUUGAGUUUGCACCUCAUUCAACCCCUACCCCACUGGGUGGUCUUAAGUAGUAACCUCAUAUGCAGUAACUUCCAUAUGUAAACUAGGACAUGACCUGGGACCCAUUUACUGGGAUAUGUGGAAGCUGGAAGUUAUAAAAAAGCUGUGUACUGCCCAAGUUUAAAUUUCUUUAGAUAACCCCCCAAAUAAUUUUUAUAAGCAUUUGGCUCAUAGUUGCUUACCCUCCAGUUGUAGGAAAUGCAUGUCUGCAUCAAGCAGUGACAGCACCUAAAAAACGAGGAACAUGAAAAAGUGUAACCCCGAGCCCACCUUUUGGGGAAAUUAAAGACGGCAGUGAGGUAAUAUCCAAGUGCCCACCUUUUUGCUACAGGAAAAUAACGCUGGGACGAAAGCAGGCAAAAAUGGACUUCUCAGGGCUCAAAGAAGUGCACUCCAUAAUCACGGGGCAGAAAAACAAACAGCUCUUCUUUCCACUGUGCCGUCAGCGUGGCGUAAACCUGGCCUUGGCCUGGGGAGUCGCGUACUCUUUGAUAAGUUGCGUCGCCAGCCUUUUUGCAAUCCCCCGCCCCCGUUAGCUUCCUCCAGAAUUCAGAAAUCUCAGUCCUUCCCCUGGCCGCAAAGUCCUUAUUGCUCUGAUCCCUCUCUAUCUCAAUCCCUACCUCUCUCUUCCUAGGACUUUCAUUAAGUCCCAGCCACUUGGGCCUUUUUUUUUCCGCCCCCAGUCACUGGAACACGCUCAGCUGUUUCCGGCCCUGGGGCCUUUGACCUUGUGUUCCUUUCUCCACGGCUGGCUUUUCCUCAUUCAGGUCAGAUGGCAGCACUCAAGGCGUCCUCUCACGACCCAGGUUACCACAUACUUUGAGUUAUUUUAUUAAAUUAAUUACAAGCUAAUAUUUAUUGUGACUUUGCUCACCUUGGCCACUAAUGAAGGAUGUAUGGUCUCAUUUGCCAUUAUAUCAGCAGAGCCUAAAAUGGAAUGUGGCACAUACUAAAAUAAGUUCUCUCUCUCUCUAUAGGGAGAAUUAUUAAGUGCUGGCAUGCAAGGUACUGCUUUUAAACAAAAAGACUAAUGGCCUUGGAAUAUAAAUACUAAAUCCACAAAUACUACAAUUUAGCUGAGGAAUGUAACACAAUACAAAUUGAGGUGAAUAAUACUAUUUAAAAGGUAGCUUCUAGGAAUCUGAAAAAUGAACCAGGUAGAAAUAAACAGACUUAAAGGUAUUUAUAUAAAUUAACCCAUCCAGUUUAAAGAUUUGCUAUGCUUAUUCUGAAGGAAGAAUGUAUACUUCCCAUUUUAAUAAACCACAUCAAAUAAGUAGGAAGAGUUUCAAUAACAAGGCCAUAGAUACACUGAAACCCCUUUUUAUAUUAAAAGUUAAAAUGAAAGACAAAUCCAGAUUAAACAUAGUGAUUGCAAAAUAUAAUGCAAUUUUGAACAAUUAAAAUUAUGAAAAUAUACAAAAUUGAUGGGCAACACAGCUAGGCAUUUGUACAUUUUUCAUUAUUUGGAGAACACUAAAAAUUCCUCUACCUUUUAUCCACAUCAGAUAAAUGAUUUAAAACAAAUGUUUGCUUUGGAGAGUCUUAACUUAGGAU